AGUGAACGCUGGCGGUAGGCCUAACACAUGCAAGUCGAACGGCAGCACAGAGGAGCUUGCCCCUUGGGUGGCGAGUGGCGGACGGGUGAGGAAUACAUCGGAAUCUACUCUGUCGUGGGGGAUAACGUGGGGAAACUUACGCUAAUACCGCAUACGACCUACGGGUGAAAGCAGGGGACCUUCGGGCCCUGCGCGAUUGAAUGAGCCGAUGUCGGCUUAGCUAGUUGGGGGGGUAAAGGCCUACCAAGGGGACGAUCCGGAGAUGGUGUAGGAGGAUGAUCAGCCACACUGGAACUGAGACACGGUCCAGACUCCUACGGGAGGCAGCAGUGGGGAAUAUUGGACAAUGGGCGCAAGCCUGAUCCAGCCAUACCGCGUGGGUGAAGAAGGCCUUCGGGUUGUAAAGCCCUUUUGUUGGGAAAGAAAUCCAGCUGGCUAAUACCCGGUUGGGAUGACGGUACCCAAAGAAUAAGCACCGGCUAACUUCGUGCCAGCAGCCGCAGUAA
rnacentral:rRNA from 1 species